CGUGCAGGUGGUUUGGUAAGUUGGGUAUGAAAUCUCCUGGCUUAACUGGGAGAGGUUGCUCAAAACUACCAGACUAGAGGACGGUAGAGGAAGGUGGAAUUCCCGGUGUAGUAGUGAAAUGCGUAGAUAUCGGGAGGAACACCAGUGGCGAAGGCGGCCUCCUGGGCCGUUCCUGACACUAAGACGCGAAAGCAUGGGUAGCAAACG
rnacentral:rRNA from 1 species